GACGAACCGUGCGAACGUUGUUCGGAAUCACUGGGCUUAAAGGGCGCGUAGGCGGCCUGCCAAGUCCGGGGUGAAAGCCCCCAGCUCAACUGGGGAAGGGCCUCGGAUACUGGCGAGCUCGAGGGAGGUAGGGGUCGAGGGAACUUCUGGUGGAGCGGUGAAAUGCGUUGAUAUCAGAAGGAACGCCGGUGGCGAAAGCGCUCGACUGGAUCUCUACUGACGCUGAGGCGCGAAAGCUAGGGGAGCAAACGGG
rnacentral:rRNA from 1 species